rnacentral:misc_RNA from 1 species
UACGGAGGAUGCGAGCGUUAUCCGGAUUUAUUGGGUUUAAAGGGUGCGUAGGCGGAAAAAUAAGUCAGUGGUGAAAGUCUGGCGCUUAACGUUAGGAUUGCCAUUGAUACUGUUAGACUUGAAUAUGGAUGAGGUAGGCGGAAUGUGUAGUGUAGCGGUGAAAUGCUUAGAUAUGACACAGAACACCGAUAGUGAAGACAGCUCACUAAGCUGUAACUGACGCUCAUGCACGAAAGCGUGGGGAUCAAACAGG